rnacentral:rRNA from 1 species
GGACUACCAGGGUAUCUAAUCCUGUUUGCUCCCCACGCUUUCGCGCAUCAGCGUCAGUAUCGGGCCAGUGAGUCGCCUUCGCCACUGGUGUUCCGCCGAAUAUCUACGAAUUUCACCUCUACACUCGGCAUUCCACUCACCUCUCCCGAACUCAAGACAGCCAGUAUCGAAGGCAGUUCCGGGGUUGAGCCCCGGGAUUUCACCCCCGACUAAACUGUCCGCCUACGCGCCCUUUACGCCCAGUAAUUCCGAGCAACGCUAGCCCCCUUCGUAUUACCGCGGCGGCUGGCAC